rnacentral:rRNA from 1 species
UACGGGGGGGGCAAGCGUUGUUCGGAAUUACUGGGCGUAAAGGGCUCGUAGGCGGCCAACUAAGUCAGACGUGAAAUCCCUCGGCUUAACCGGGGAACUGCGUCUGAUACUGGAUGGCUUGAGAUUGGGAGAGGGAUGCGGAAUUCCAGGUGUAGCGGUGAAAUGCGCAGAUAUCAGGAGGAACACCGGUGGCGAAGGCAGGUCUCUGGGCAUUAACUGACGCUGAGGAGCGAAAGCAUGGGGAGCGAACAGG